rnacentral:rRNA from 1 species
UCCGUAGGGGGCGAGCGUUAUCCGGAAUUACUGGGCGUAAAGCGCACGCAGGCGGUUCGCCAAGUUUGGCGUGACAGUUGUCGGCUCAACCGACAAAGGACUUCAAAAACUGGUGAACUUGAGGACGAGAGAGGAACAUGGAACUCCAGGUGUAGUAGUGAAAUGCGUAGAUAUCUGGAAGAACACCAAUGGCGAAGGCAAUGUUCUGGCUCGUUUCUGACGCUCAGGUGCGAAAGCCAGGGGAGCGAACGGG